GAAGAAGUUCUCUGACCUUUAGCAAUAGCUCCAGGAUGUCGAGGUGAGCUAUAACAUGUAUCGUGUCGGCUGGUGCAAGCAGGUGGAUGACUAUAGGGGUGCACUCUGGAUGACGACCGAUGAGGUUGCCCGCCUUCAAAGGCAACUAGCUGAAGGAGCUCAGUUUGCUCCCAUUCGAGAUCCCGACGAACUCCAAUCCCUGAAA
rnacentral:lncRNA from 1 species